UACGUAGGGUGCGAGCGUUGUCCGGAAUUACUGGGCGUAAAGAGCUUGUAGGCGGUUUGUCGCGUCGUCCGUGAAAACUUGGGGCUCAACCCCAAGCUUGCGGGCGAUACGGGCAGACUUGAGUACUUCAGGGGAGACGUGGAAUUCCUGGUGUAGCGGUGGAAAUGACGCAGAUAUCAGGAGGAACACCGGUGGCGAAGGCGGGUCUCUGGGAAGUAACUGACGCUGAGAAGCGAAAGCGUGGGUAGCGAACAGG
rnacentral:rRNA from 1 species